rnacentral:rRNA from 1 species
CCCUUAGAUGUUCUGGGCUACACGCGUGUUACACUGACGAAUUCAACAAGUUAUAUUUUCCUUGCUCGAAGGAGUAUGGGUAAUCUUUUAAAUGUUCGUCGUGAUGGGGAUAGAGCAUUGUAAUUAUUGCUCUUGAACGAGGAAUCCCUAGUAAGUGCAAUUCAUUAGAUUGCGCUGAAUACGUCCCUGUCCUUUGUACACACCGCCCGUCGCUCCUACCGACGAAUUAUUCGAUGAGGAUUCGGGAUGACCUUUGCAUUCGACUUAGUCGUUGCUCUGUGACAAAACUUAUUCGAAUCUCAUUAUUUGAAGGAAGGGGAANUCGUAACA